ensembl:lncRNA
GGACAGAGAGGAGAGAGAUACAGACGACAGAGAGGAGAGAGACAGACGACAGAGAGGAGAGAUACAGAAGACAGAGAGGAGAGAGACAGACGACAGAGAGGAGAGAGACAGAGGACAGAGAGGAGAGAUACAGACGACAGAGAGGAGAGAUACAGACGACAGAGAGGAGAGAUACAGAAGACAGAGAGGAGAGAUACAGACGACAGAGAGGAGAGAUACAGAAGACAGAGAGGAGAGAGACAGACGACAGAGAGGAGAGAGACAGACGACAGAGAGGAGAGAGACAGAGGACAGAGAGGAGAGAGACAGACGACAGAGAGGAGAGAUACAGAAGACAGAGAGGAGAGAGACAGACGACAGAGAGGAGAGAGACAGACGACAGAGAGGAGAGAGACAGAGGACAGAGAGGAGAGAUACAGACGACAGAGAGGAGAGAUACAGACGACAGAGAGGAGAGAUACAGACGACAGAGAGGAGAGAUACAGACGACAGAGAGGAGAGAUACAGACGACAGAGAGGAGAGAUACAGACGACAGAGAGGAAAGAGAUACAGACGACAGAGAGGAGAGAUACAGACGACAGAGAGGAGAGAGAUACAGACGACAGAGAGGAGAGAGACAGACGACAGAGAGGAGAGAGAUACAGAGGACAGAGAGGAGAGAUACAGACGACAGAGAGGAGAGAUACAGACGACAGAGAGGAGAGAGAUACAGACGACAGAGAGGAGAGAGACAGACGACAGAGAGGAGAGAGAUACAGACGACAGAGAGGAGAGAGACAGACGACAGAGAGGAGAGAUACAGACGACAGAGAGGAGAGAUACAGACGACAGAGAGAAGAGAUACAGACGACAGAGAGGAGAGAUACAGACGACAGGGAGGAGAGAUACAGACGACAGAGAGGAAGAGAUACAGACGACAGAGAGGAGAGAUACAGACGACAGAGAGGAGAGAGAUACAGACGACAGAGAGGAGAGAGACAGACGACAGAGAGGAGAGAGAUACAGACGACAGAGAGGAGAGAUACAGACGACAGAGAGGAGAGAUACAGACGACAGAGAGGAGAGAUACAGACGACAGAGAGGAGAGAUACAGACGACAGAGAGGAAAGAGAUACAGACGACAGAGAGGAGAGAUACAGACGACAGAGAGGAGAGAGAUACAGACGACAGAGAGGAGAGAGACAGACGACAGAGAGGAGAGAGAUACAGACGACAGAGAGGAGAGAGACAGACGACAGAGAGGAGAGAUACAGACGACAGAGAGAAGAGAUACAGACGACAGAGAGGAGAGAUACAGACGACAGGGAGGAGAGAUACAGACGACAGAGAGGAGAGAGACAGACGACAGAGAGGAGAGAGACAGACGACAGAGAGGAGAGAGAUACAGAGGACAGAGAGGAGAGAUACAGACGACAGAGAGGAGAGAUACAGACGACAGAGAGGAGAGAGACAGACGACAGAGAGGAGAGAGAUACAGAGGACAGAGAGGAGAGAUACAGACGACAGAGAGGAGAGAUACAGAAGACAGAGAGGAGAGAGACAGACGACAGAGAGGAGAGAGACAGACGACAGAGAGGAGAGAUACAGAAGACAGAGAGGAGAGAGACAGACGACAGAGAGGAGAGAGAGACAGACGACAGAGAGGAGAGAUACAGACGACAGAGAGGAGAGAGACAGACGACAGAGAGGAAAGAUACAGACGACAGAGAGGAGAGAUACAGACGACAGAGAGGAGAGAGAUAGACGACAGAGAGGAGAGAGACAGACGACAGAGAGGAGAGAGACAGACGACAGAGAGGAGAGAGAUACAGACGACAGACAGGAGAGAGACAGACGACAGAGAGGAGAGAGACAGACGACAGAGAGGAGAAAAUGAAUAA